GGAGGGGUGGCAGAGCGGUCGAAUGCGGCGGUCUUGAAAACCGUUGUACGCUUGAUGCGUACCGUGGGUUCGAAUCCCACCCCCUCCGCCA
rnacentral:tRNA from 1 species